rnacentral:rRNA from 1 species
GAGUUUGAUCAUGGCUCAGAUUGAACGCUGGCGGCAUGCCUUACACAUGCAAGUCGAACGGCAGCACGGGGGCUUGCUCCUGGUGGCGAGUGGCGAACGGGUGAGUAAUGCAUCGGAACGUAUCCUGGAGUGGGGGGAUAACGUAGCGAAAGUUACGCUAAUACCGCAUAUUCUGUGAGCAGGAAAGCGGGGGACCUUCGGGCCUCGCGCUCUUGGAGUGGCCGAUGUCGGAUUAGCUAGUUGGUGAGGUAAAGGCUCACCAAGGCGACGAUCCGUAGCAGGUCUGAGAGGAUGAUCUACCACACUGGAACUGAGACACGGUCCAGACUCCUACGGGAGGCAGCAGUGGGGAAUUUUGGACAAUGGGGGCAACCCUGAUCCAGCCAUGCCGCGUGAGUGAAGAAGGCCUCGGUU